rnacentral:rRNA from 1 species
AGUGAACGCUGGCGGUAGGCCUAACACAUGCAAGUCGAACGGCAGCACAGUAAGAGCUUGCUCUUACGGGUGGCGAGUGGCGGACGGGUGAGGAAUACAUCGGAAUCUACUUUUUCGUGGGGGAUAACGUAGGGAAACUUACGCUAAUACCGCAUACGACCUACGGGUGAAAGCAGGGGAUCUUCGGACCUUGCGCGAUUGAAUGAGCCGAUGUCGGAUUAGCUAGUUGGCGGGGUAAAGGCCCACCAAGGCGACGAUCCGUAGCUGGUCUGAGAGGAUGAUCAGCCACACUGGAACUGAGACACGGUCCAGACUCCUACGGGAGGCAGCAGUGGGGAAUAUUGGACAAUGGGCGCAAGCCUGAUCCAGCCGUACCGCGUGGGUGAAGAAGGCCUUCGGGUUGUAAAGCCCUUUUGUUGGGAAAGAAAAGCAGCAGGUUAAGACCCCGCUGUUCGGACGGGACCCAAAGAAGAAGCACCGGCUAACUUCGU